rnacentral:tRNA from 1 species
GUGUCCGUAGUGUACGCGGUAUGCAUACCUGCCCGUGAAGCAGGAGGCAUGGGUUCAACUCCCAUCGGUCACCCCU